rnacentral:rRNA from 1 species
GAGGAAGGCUGGCUACAGGCUUAACACAUGCAAGUCGAGGGGAAACGACGGGGAAGCUUGCUUCCCCGGGCGUCGACCGGCGCACGGGUGAGUAACGCGUAUCCAACCUGCCUCUGACUGAGGGAUAACCCGUCGAAAGUCGGCCUAAUACCUCAUGGCAUCGUCUGCGGGCAUCCAACGACGAUUAAAGAUUUCAUCGGUCAGGGAUGGGGAUGCGUCUGAUUAGCUAGUUGGCGGGGUAACGGCCCACCAAGGCGACGAUCAGUAGGGGUUCUGAGAGGAAGGUCCCCCACAUUGGAACUGAGACACGGUCCAAACUCCUACGGGAGGCAGCAGUGAGGAAUAUUGGUCAAUGGGCGAGAGCCUGAACCAGCCAAGUAGCGUGCAGGAUGACGGCCCUAUGGGUUGUAAACUGCUUUUAUGCGGGGAUAAAGUGAGGGACGUGUCCUUCAUUGCAGGUACCGCAUGAAUAAGGACCGGCUAAUUCCGUG